AGUACCGUGAGGGAAAGGUGAAAAGAACCGCGGGAGCGGAGUGAAAGAGAACCUGAAACCGUAUGCCUACAAGAAGUCAGAGCCCGUUAAGGGGUGAUGGCGUGCCUUUUGUAGAAUGAACCGGCGAGUUGCGACAGACUGCGAGGUUAAGGAGGAAAGACCGGAGCCGAAGCGAAAGCGAGUCUUAAUAGGGCGAAAGUAGGAUGUUGCAGACCCGAAACCGGGUGAUCUAGCCAUGAGCAGGUUGAAGUUGAGGUGAAACUCAAUGGAGGACCGAACCGACUACCGUUGAAAAGUUAGCGGAUGACUUGUGGCUAGGGGAGAAAUUCCAAUCGAACCCGGAGAUAGCUGGUUCUCCCCGAAAUAGCUUUAGGGCUAGCGUCGGAAAGAACCUUAGUGAAGGUAGAGCACUGAAUGUGUGAUGGCCCCAUCCCGGGGUACUGAAUACAAUCAAACUGCGAAUGUCAUUAAGGAUGUCCGGCAGUCAGACUGUGAGUGAUAAGGUCCAUGGUCAAGAGGGAAACAGCCCAGACCGCCAGUUAAGGUCCCAAAAUACAGGCUAAGUGGAAAAGGAUGUGGGGAUGCCCAGACAACUAGGAGGUUGGCUCAGAAGCAGCCAUCCUUUAAAGAGUGCGUAACAGCUCACUAGUCGAGUGACCCUGCGCCGAAAAUGUACCGGGGCUAAGCCUGAUACCGAAACUGCGGAUUGUAGGAAACUAUAGUGGUAGGGGAGCGUUGUAUACGAGCAGAAGCCGUACCGUGAGGAGCGGUGGAUUGUAUAGAAGUGAGAAUGCCGGUGUGAGUAGCGAGAUGUAGGUGAGAAUCCUACACACCGAAAGCCCAAGGAUUCCAGGGGAAGGUUCGUCCGCCCUGGGUAAGUCGGGACCUAACGCGAGGCCGAAAGGCGUAGUGGAUGGAAAGCAGGCGAAAGAUUCCUGCACCCGUAUAUGGAGCGAAGGAGUGACGGAGACGGAUAGUGUGACCCUCUUAAUGGAUUGAGGGCGAAGCGAAGCGGCUGGUUACCAGGCAAAUCCGGUAACCAAAAGGCUAGAGCGUGACAGGUAAGCGAAAUCUUAGGAAAGUAGCGAAGCACAUGAUGACGGCUUCCAGGAAAAGCUUCUGGCAAUGCAUAUGCGGCCCGUACCAAAACCGACACAGGUGGGCAGGGAGAGAAUCCCGAGGUGAGCGAGAGAACUGUUGCCAAGGAACUCGGCAAAAUGACUCCGUAAGUUAGCGAGAAGGAGUGCUUAAGCAAUUAAGCCGCAGUGAAGAGGCCCAAGCGACUGUUUAACUAAAACACAGCUCUCUGCGAAGUCGCAAGACGAAGUAUAGGGGGUGACACCUGCCCGGUGCUGGAAGGUUAAGAGGAUCUGUUAAGAGCGAUCUGAAGCAGUGAUCCGAAGCCCCAGUGAACGGCGGCCGUAACUAUAACGGUCCUAAGGUAGCGAAAUUCCUUGUCAGGUAAGUUCUGACCCGCACGAAAGGUGUAACGAUUUGGGCGCUGUCUCGGCAGCAGACUCGGUGAAAUCUUAGUACCUGUGAAAAUGCAGGUUACCCGCAACUAGACGGAAAGACCCCAUGGAGCUUUACUGCAGCCUGAUAUUGAAUUCUGGUCAUACAUGUACAGGAUAGGUGGGAGACAAAGAGACGUGCACGCCAGUGUACGAGGAGUCGACGUUGGGAUACCACUCUUGUGUGACCGGGGUUCUAACCUGGUAUCGAGAACAGGUACGGGGAGAGUGUCAGGUGGGCAGUUUGACUGGGGCGGUCGCCUCCCAAAGAGUAACGGAGGCGCCCAAAGGUACGCUCAGAUUGGAUGGAAACCAAUCGUCGAGUGCAAUUGCAGAAGCGUGCUUGACUGUGAGACAAACAAGUCGAACAGGGACGAAAGUCGGGAAUAGUGAUCCGGCGGUGCCGAAUGGAAGGGCCGUCGCUCAACGGAUAAAAGCUACCCUGGGGAUAACAGGCUGAUCUCGCCCAAGAGUUCACAUCGACGGCGAGGUUUGGCACCUCGAUGUCGGCUCAUCGCAUCCUGGAGCUGGAUUCGGUUCCAAGGGUUGGGCUGUUCGCCCAUUAAAGCGGUACGCGAGCUGGGUUCAGAACGU
rnacentral:rRNA from 1 species